GGGGAAUAUUGGACAAUGGGCGAAAGCCUGAUCCAGCAACGCCGCGUGAGGGAUGACUGCCUUCGGGUUGUAAACCUCUUUCAGUAGGGACGAAGCGCAAGUGACGGUACCUACAGAAGAAGCACCGGCCAACUACGUGCCAGCAGCCGCGGUAAUACGUAGGGUGCGAGCGUUGUCCGGAAUUAUUGGGCGUAAAGGGCUCGUAGGCGGUUUGUCGCGUCGGGAGUGAAAACUCAGGGCUUAACCCUGAGCCUGCUUCCGAUACGGGCAGACUAGAGGUAUGCAGGGGAGAACGGAAUUCCUGGUGUAGCGGUGAAAUGCGCAGAUAUCAGGAGGAACACCGGUGGCGAAGGCGGUUCUCUGGGCAUUACCUGACGCUGAGGAGCGAAAGUGUGGGGAGCGAAC
rnacentral:rRNA from 1 species